rnacentral:lncRNA from 1 species
AUGGUCUCAGACGUGCUGCGACCAACGGCUGAGCCCCUGCCCGGGGAGGAGCAGCAUCUGGGCCGCAGAGCAGGGGGAGCGCUGCCAGGCAGGUCCCGUGUCAACUGGGACCUGAGUAGCGGGGAGGCGGCCGGGUGGGCUGCUGGCCGGGCGCCACCCCUGCGGGGCUGUAGCCUCGCUUCCCUAAUUGGAAGCAGAGCCUGGCAGGGCUGGGCACAGAUUUCAUGCCGAGAGAGGAGAGGGAGCCGGGGGCAGCCGGGAUGCUUCUGCUUCUGGUCGCUUCUUGCAGGAAAGAGCAGAGCUGCCGGCUGCGGGAGGAGGCAAGCGCGGGUUUACGCGGCGCUGGUGCCUGACGGGGGGCUGCAGAGGCAGGUGUACCGGUGGGGCCCUCACGCCUGCCCCCACAGCCCCUCCCUCCUGUCCUGCCAGGCGUUCCCGCUCCGAGGCCCUGGAGGGCGCUGGGGAGAAGGUUCCGGAAGGUCUGCGGGUCGGCGUCCUACCCAAGCUGGCAAGGCCCCUGGCAUUCAGACCGCGGUGACUGACAGCAGAGAUCAACCCUCCACAUCCGACCAGCGAACACGGGAAGGCGGCUGGCGUGACUCAGGAACCCAAUUUGCAAUUUUGUUUAAGCCCCCAGGCAGCCUGGGGACGCGGCCGCCAGGAGCCGGGAGCUCACCUCACGCCACUUCUGCAUCGGAGGGUCGUCCCUCUUUGCACGUCUCUUGGUCUCAGCCUACUUUCCACACAGCGUUUCCGCACGAAGGGACAAGGAGUGACGUCACAGCGGAGAAGCCCGGCAGACGCCGCCUGCACCCAGGGACCCAGGUGAGUGUAGGGCGCCUGGGGCGAGGGACACCUGCCCCCGAGGAGGCGGUGAGAAGCUUACAGCGUGUCGGUCGUAUUUCCGCCCAGAGGGCACGGCCUGACCGGAAUCUUGAGACACAUCAGCCUCGAACUGAGGGACAUUUACCGAAGGCGCCGUCGAGGAGCGGCUGCGGAAGCGCUUCCAGAGGAAGGCGAUGA